ACACUGAUGGUGAAACGGUAUCAUGCUUGCCUUCCAUGGCUUCAAGCUGGUAGCAAGCGGCGCGGGUUCGACUCCCGCUCAGUGUA